GUGGGGAAUAUUCCGCAAUGGACGAAAGUCUGACGGAGCAACGCCGCGUGAGUGAUGAAGGUUUUCGGACUGUAAAGCUCUGUUGUUUAGGACGAAAGUGCCUGUUGCAAAUAGUUACAGGUAUUGACGGUACUGAACGAGGAAGCCACGGCUAACUACGUGCCAGCAGCCGCGGUAAUACGUAGGUGGCAAGCGUUGUCCGGAAUUAUUGGGCGUAAAGAGCAUGUAGGCGGGAAUCUAAGUCUGUUGUGAAAAUGCGGGGCUCAACCCCGUAUUGCGAUGGAAACUGGGUUUCUUGAGUGCAGGAGAGGAAAGGGGAAUUCCCAGUGUAGCGGUGAAAUGCGUAGAUAUUGGGAGGAACACCAGUGGCGAAGGCGCCUUUCUGGACUGACACUGACGCUGAGGCUCGAAAGCGUGGGGAGCAAACAGGAUUAGAUACCCCAGUAGUCC
rnacentral:rRNA from 1 species